CUGAAUGCUGGUUUAGUUACCUUAAAAUGCAGCCUGAAACAAUUCCUGUGCUUCAUCAACUGCUGGAAAUCAUGCAGCUGAGGAGAAGAGAAUUCAGAGCCAUUUGCCAGCUGCCGCAGUCAGCUAUUCCCCACACAUGCAGGAGAGGCUCAAAGCGGGACUUCAUUUUGCAGAAGGCUGUCGUGCUGCCUCCGUGGCUCUGAAGUGUACACAUGCACCUUGGAUGGAGAUAAAGUAUCACCAUCUACUGGCGGCUGAAAGGAUGACGGCAGAAAAUUUUAGAAGGGAGGAAGAAUACUCUGGAGAGCACUGUUGGGACAUAUUUCUCAGGGUACAAGAGCAUGUCUCACCUGAGAUCCUGACACUGAGCUUGUCAACUCCAUGAGCGUCCUUCUGGCAAUGGGUUUGUCCAUCCAGCUAUGGUUGGUGUUACUGUGACUUGUUAUGUUUUACCAAAGUACUAUUUUCACUGUGAAGAAAUGUCCCCAACACAAGGAUAUUUCCAAAAUCUGUGAAAACUUU